UCCCAGCUAGUAUAGUGGUCCAGUAUCCGCGCCUGUCACGUGCGAGACCAGGGUUCGAUUCCCUGGCUAGGAG
rnacentral:tRNA from 1 species